rnacentral:rRNA from 1 species
AUACGUAGGUGGCAAGCGUUGUCCGGAAUUAUUGGGCGUAAAGCGCAUGUAGGCGGUAAUUUAAGUCUGUCGUGAAACUGCGGGGCUCAGCCCCGUAUGGCGAUGGAAACUGGGUUACUUGGGUGCAGGAGAGGAAAGGGGAACUCCCAGUGUAGCGGUGAAAUGCGUAGAUAUUGGGAAGAACACCGGUGGCGAAGGCGCCUUUCUGGACUGUGUCUGACGCUGAGAUGCGAAAGCCAGGGUAGCGAACGGGAUUAGAUACCCCGGUAGUCCUGGCCGUAAACGAUGGGUACUAGGUGUGGGAGGUAUCGACCCCUUCCGUGCCGGAGUUAACGCAAUAAGUACCCCGCCUGGGGAGUACGGCCGCAAGGCUUAAACUCAAAGGAAUUGACGGGG